CCUACGGGAGGCAGCAGUAGGGAAUCUUCCACAAUGGACGAAAGUCUGAUGGAGCAACGCCGCGUGAGUGAAGAAGGUUCUCGGAUCGUAAAACUCUGUUGUGAGGGAAGAACAAGUACCGGAGUAACUGCCGGUACCUUGACGGUACCUCAUUAGAAAGCCACGGCUAACUACGUGCCAGCAGCCGCGGUAAUACGUAGGUGGCAAGCGUUGUCCGGAAUCAUUGGGCGUAAAGCGCGCGCAGGCGGUCCCUUAAGUCUGAUGUGAAAGCCCACGGCUCAACCGUGGAGGGUCAUUGGAAACUGGGGGACUUGAGUGCAGAAGAGGAAAGCGGAAUUCCAAGUGUAGCGGUGAAAUGCGUAGAGAUUUGGAGGAACACCAGUGGCG
rnacentral:rRNA from 1 species